rnacentral:rRNA from 1 species
AUUGAACGCUGGCGGCAGGCCUAACACAUGCAAGUCGAACGAGUGGCGGACGGGUGAGUAAUGUGUGGGAAACUGCCUGGGGGAGGGGGAUAACUACUGGAAACGGUAGCUAGUACCGCAUACCAUCAGCUGUGCCCAGGUGGGCUUAGGUGGUUGGUGGGGUAACGGCUGACCAAGGCGACGAUACCUAGCUGGGCUGAGAGGAUGACCAGCCACACUGGAACUGAGACACGGUCCAGACUCCUACGGGAGGCAGCAGUGGGGAAUAUUGCACAAUGGGCGCAAGCCUGAUGCAGCAAUGCCGCGUGUGUGAAGAAGGUCUUCGGGUUGUAAAUUACUUUCAUCGGUGAGGCGUUACCCACACAAGAAGCACCGGCUAACUCCGUGCCAGCAGCCGCGGUAAUUC